AUGAACGCUGGCGGCGUGCCUAAUACAUGCAAGUCGAGCGAACGGACGAGAAGCUUGCUUUUCUGAUGUUAGCGGCGGACGGGUGAGUAACACGUGGAUAACCUACCUAUAAGACUGGGAUAACUUCGGGAAACCGGAGCUAAUACCGGAUAAUAUUUUGAACCGCAUGGUUCAAAAGUGAAAGACGGUCUUGCUGUCACUUAUAGAUGGAUCCGCGCUGCAUUAGCUAGUUGGUAAGGUAACGGCUUACCAAGGCAACGAUGCAUAGCCGACCUGAGAGGGUAUUCGCCGACACGUAACCGGAGCCAGGUUCCGGAAGCCAAGGGGAGCAGCAGUAGGGAAUCUUCCGCAUUGGGCGAAAGCCUGACGGAGCAACGCCGCGUGAGUGAUGAAGGUCUUCGGAUCGUAAAACUCUGUUAUUAGGGAAGAACAUAUGUGUAAGUAACUGUGCACAUCUUGACGGUACCUAAUCAGAAAGCCACGGCUAACUACGUG
rnacentral:rRNA from 1 species